GAUGAACGCUGGCGGCGUGCCUAAUACAUGCAAGUCGAGCGAACAGACGAGGCGCUUGCUCCUCUGACGUUAGCGGCGGACGGGUGAGUAACACGUGGAUAACCUACCUAUAAGACUGGGAUAACUUCGGGAAAGCGGAGCUAAUACCGGAUAAUCUAUUGAACCGCAUGGUUCAAUAGUGAAAGACGGUUUUGCUGUCACUUAUAGAUGGAUCCGCGCCGCAUUAGCUAGUUGGUACGGUAACGGCUUACCAAGGCAACGAUGCGUAACCGACCUGAGAGGGUGAUAGGCCACACUGGAACUGAGACACGGUCCAGACUCCUACGGGAGGCAGCAGUAGGGAAUCGUCCGCAAUGGGCGAAAGCCUGACGGAGCAACGCCGCGUGAGUGAUGAAGGUCUUCGGAUCGUAAAACUCUGUUAUGAGGGAAGAACAAAUGUGUAAGUAACUAUGCACGUCUUGACGGUACCUAAUCAGAAAGCCACGGCUAACUACGUG
rnacentral:rRNA from 1 species